AUCCGGCACCUCAAGGAUGAGAUGGCCCGCCAUCUGCGCGAGUACCAGGACCUGCUCAACGUGAAGAUGGCCCUGGAUGUGGAGAUUGCCACCUACCGGAAGCUGCUGGAGGGAGAGGAGAGCCGAUGGAGUUUCGCUCUUGUCGCCCAGUCUGGAGUGCAAUGGCACCAUCUUGGCUCACUGCAACCUCCGCCUCCUGGGUUCAAGCAAUUCUCCUGCCUCAGCUUCCCGAGCAGCUGGGAUUACAGGCGCCUACCACCACGCCUGGCUAAUUUUUGUAUUUUUAGUAGAGACGGGGUUUCACUAUGUUGGGCAGCUGGUCUCGAACUCCUGACCUCAGGAUCAAUCUCCCCAUCCAGACCUACUCUGCCCUCAACUUCCGAGAAACCAGCCCUGAGCAAAGGGGUUCUGAGGUCCAUACCAAGAAGACGGUGAUGAUCAAGACCAUCGAGACACGGGAUGGGGAGGUCGUCAGUGAGGCCACACAGCAGCAGCAUGAAGUGCUCUAAAGACAGAGACCCUCUGCCACCAGAGACCGUCCUCACCCCUGUCCUCACUGCUCCCUGAAGCCAGCCUUCUUCCAUCCCAGGACACCACACCCAGCCUCAGUCCUCCCCUCACAGCCUCUGACCCCUCCUCACUGGCCAUCCCUCGUGGUCCCCAACAGCGACAUAGCCCAUCCCUGCCUGGUCACAGGGCAUGCCCCGGCCACCUCUGCGGACCCCAGCUGUGAGCCUUGGCUGUUGGCAGUGAGUGAGCCUGGCUCUUGUGCUGGAUGGAGCCCAGGCGGGAGCGGUGGCCCUGUCCCUCCCACCUCUGUGACCUCAGGCACUAGCCUUUGGCUCUGGAGACAGCCCCAGAGCAGGGUGUUGGGAUACUGCAGGGCCAGGACUGAGCCCCGCAGACCUCCCCAGCCCCUAGCCCAGGAGAGAGAAAGCCAGGCAGGUAGCCAGGGGGACUAGCCCCUGUGGAGACUGGGGGGCUUGAAAUUGUCCCCGUGGUCUCUUACUUUCCUUUCCCCAGCCCAGGGUGGACUUAGAAAGCAGGGGCUACAAGAGGGAAUCCCCGAAGGUGCUGGAGGUGGGAGCAGGAGAUUGAGAAGGAGAGAAAGUGGGUGAGAUGCUGGAGAAGAGAGGAGAGGAGAGAGGCAGAGAGCGGUCUCAGGCUGGUGGGAGGGGCGCCCACCUCCCCACGCCCUCCCCUCCCCUGCUGCAGGGGCUCUGGAGAGAAACAAUAAAGAGAUUCACACACAA
rnacentral:lncRNA from 10 species